CUCUCCUUAGCUCAGUUGGAAGAGCGAUAGACUGUAAUCGUAUGUGUAGCUAUCUACAGGUCCUCGGUUCGAUCCCGAGAGGGGAGA